UACGAAGGGGGCUAGCGUUGCUCGGAAUCACUGGGCGUAAAGCGCACGUAGGCGGAUUGUUAAGUCAGGGGUGAAAUCCUGGAGCUCAACUCCAGAACUGCCUUUGAAACUGUACGGCUUGAGGCCGGGAGGGGGUAGCGGAAUUCCCAAUGUAGCGGUGAAAUGCGUAGAUAUUGGGAGGAACACCAGUGGCGAAGGCGGCUACCUGGACCGGUUCUGACGCUGAGGCGCGAAAGCGUGGGUAGCAAACAGG
rnacentral:rRNA from 1 species